rnacentral:rRNA from 1 species
GACGAACGCUGGCGGCGUGCCUAAUACAUGCAAGUUGAGCGCUGAAGGUUGGUACUUGUACCAACUGGAUGAGCAGCGAACGGGUGAGUAACGCGUGGGGAAUCUGCCUAUGAGCGGGGGACAACAUUUGGAAACGAAUGCUAAUACCGCAUAAAAACUUUAAACACAAGUUUUAAGUUUGAAAGAUGCAAUUGCAUCACUCAAAGAUGAUCCCGCGUUGUAUUAGCUAGUUGGUGAGGUAAAGGCUCACCAAGGCGAUGAUACAUAGCCGACCUGAGAGGGUGAUCGGCCACAUUGGGACUGAGACACGGCCCAAACUCCUACGGGAGGCAGCAGUAGGGAAUCUUCGGCAAUGGACGAAAGUCUGACCGAGCAACGCCGCGUGAGUGAAGAAGGUUGUCGGAUCGUAAAACUCUGUUGGUAGAGAAGAACGUUGGUGAGAGUGGAAAGCUCAUCAAGUGACGGUAACUACCCAGAAAGGGACGGCUAACUACGUG